GUCGCUUUGAUCGUUAUUACUGUCAUUAUAGGGCGGAGUUAGCGGCCCCCAAUCCAAAGAGGGAGCGCGGGACCCUGGCGUGGGUCUGCGGAGGUGACCCUAGAUUGCGGGUUUGUCCGGCGGGGCCUUGGACGGGUGCUCAGAGCGGCGCUUGGCACGUAGUACGCGCUCAAGUACCACCGGGAUGACGGGGCUCGACGAUUCGGGAUGAAGCCUGGAACCCCUUGGUAAACACGUCGUUUUUUU